CCUACGGAGGGCAGCAGUGUGGAAUAUUGGACAAUGGGGGCAACCCUGAUCCAGCCAUGCCGCGUGUGUGAAGAAGGCCCUCGGGUUGUAAAGCACUUUCAGUGAGGAAGAACGCCUGGUGGUUAAUACCCAUCAGGAAAGACAUCACUCACAGAAGAAGCACCGGCUAACUCCGUGCCAGCAGCCGCGGUAAUACGGAGGGUGCGAGCGUUAAUCGGAAUUACUGGGCGUAAAGCGCGCGUAGGUGGCUUGAUAAGCCGGUUGUGAAAGCCCCGGGCUCAACCUGGGAACGGCAUCCGGAACUGUCAAGCUAGAGUGCAGGAGAGGAAGGUAGAAUUCCCGGUGUAGCGGUGAAAUGCGUAGAGAUCGGGAGGAAUACCAGUGGCGAAGGCGGCCUUCUGGACUGACACUGACACUGAGGUGCGAAAGCGUGGGUAGCAAACAGGAUUAGAUACCCCAGUAGUC
rnacentral:rRNA from 1 species